CUUCCAAUACCUGUCAGGCUUCUUUUUUUUUCUUUUCUUUUUUCAGUGCGCUUCACAAUUGAAGGCACCCUUAUCUGAUGAAAUUAAACUCCUCAUAAUCAGCUUUCACAAAGACAGCUGAGAGCCGGCCCUCCUCCGCCGCAUAUUAAAACGCUAAUAAUCUCUCCGCCGCAAAUGGCUGCGUGACUGCAAGACGUGCCCCAACCCGAGCAUCGACAAGUGCCCGCCGUUGGAGGGGCCCCCCAUCGGUGGGGGACGGUAACGGAGGCCCGCUUGUGUUUGGGGUUAUGGGCGUCCUUGUGUCUUGACACGAUCUAUGACAGUGGAGAAAGACACUUAAAAAGGGAAGAAUUUAACAGAGCCUGACCAGGAUGAAAGCAAGAGGUCAGCACAUGGUCGCCAGCGCCUCAGUGGCGCGUGUUCCCAUUUUCUCUCUUAUCUGCCUGCUGUGUCCUCUGCUUCCUCUCCAUUUCAUGGUAAUGCAUUUGACCAUGGACCACGUGUGUCCCAGGCCACAUUCGGCUAUAAGAAAGGAGAUGGGGAGAAGAUGAGACAGAAGACUUUCGCUGCCUGAGUUUGCUCGCUGUUUUACUGCUACAGGAGGAGUUUUGGGAUGAACAUCAGGCAAAGACACACAGGCUUCCGAUUGGCCAACGUGGCUUUACGGAAGAGGGUAUAUUGCCACCUGCUGCUUUGGCGAUCGCUUCACAUUUUCAUAUCGCUGGUGCGGAUGGGAAUUGGAGGGGAGAGAAAAAAAGUGUUUUUGAAAAUA